rnacentral:rRNA from 1 species
CUGAGAGGAUGACCAGCCACACUGGAACUGAGACACGGUCCAGACUCCUACGGGAGGCAGCAGUGGGGAAUAUUGCACAAUGGGCGCAAGCCUGAUGCAGCCAUGCCGCGUGUGUGAAGAAGGCCUUCGGGUUGUAAAGCACUUUCAGCGGGGAGGAAGGCGAUAAGGUUAAUAACCUUGUCGAUUGACGUUACCCGCAGAAGAAGCACCGGCUAACUCCGUGCCAGCAGCCGCGGUAAUACGGAGGGUGCAAGCGUUAAUCGGAAUUACUGGGCGUAAAGCGCACGCAGGCGGUCUGUCAAGUCGGAUGUGAAAUCCCCGGGCUCAACCUGGGAACUGCAU